AGAGUUUGAUCCUGGCUCAGGACGAACGUUGGCGGCGUGCUUAACACAUGCAAGUCGAGCGGUUCUCGUAGUUUACUUCGAGGAUAGCGGCGGACGGGUGAGUAACGCGUGGAUCGAACGUUGGCGGCGUGCUUAACACAUGCAAGUCGAGCGGUUCUCGUAGUUUACUUCGAGGAUAGCGGCGGACGGGUGAGUAACGCGUGGAUAAUCUGCCUGUAAGACAGGGAUAACGCCGGGAAACCGGUGCUAAUACCCGAUAACCUCUUUGGACCGCAUGGUUUGAAGAGAAAAGGAUGCUACCACUUACAGAUGAAUCCGCGGCUGAUUAGCUAGUUGGUGGGGUAAAGGCCUACCAAGGCGACGAUCAGUAGCCGGCCUGAGAGGGUGAACGGCCACACUGGGACUGAGACACGGCCCAGACUCCUACGGGAGGCAGCAGUGGGGAAUCUUCCGCAAUGGGCGAAAGCCUGACGGAGCAACGCCGCGUGAGUGAUGAAGGCCUUCGGGUUGUAAAACUCUGUCUUCAGGGAAGAAAAAAAUGACGGUACCCAAGGAGGAAGCCCCGGCUAACUACGUGCCAGCAGCCGCGGUAAUACGUAGGGGGCAAGCGUUGUCCGGAAUUAUUGGGCGUAAAGGGCGCGUAGGCGGAUCGUUAAGUCCGGUGUGAAAGAUCAGGGCUCAACCCUGAGAGUGCAUCGGAAACUGGAGAUCUUGAGGACAGGAGAGGAAAGUGGAAUUCCACGUGUAGCGGUGAAAUGCGUAGAUAUUAGGAGGAACACCAGUGGCGAAGGCGACUUCCUGGCUUGUAACUGACACUGAGGCGCGAAAGCGUGGGGAUCAAACAGGAUUAGAUACCCUGGUAGUCCACGCCGUAAACGAUGAGUGCUAGGUGUCGGGGGUAUCGACCCCCUCGGUGCCACAGCUAACGCAAUAAGCACUCCGCCUGGGGAGUACGGUCGCAAGACUGAAACUCAAAGGAAUUGACGGGGGCCCGCACAAGCGGUGGAGUAUGUGGUUUAAUUCGACGCAACGCGAAGAACCUUACCAAGGCUUGACAUCCUGUGACAGCCAUAGAAAUAUGGACUUCUUAGUUUACUAAGACACAGAGACAGGUGGUGCAUGGUUCGUCAGCUCGUGUCGUGAGAUGUUGGGUUAAGUCCCGCAACGAGCGCAACCCCUACAGCCAGUUGCCAGCACGUAAAGGUGGGAACUCUGGCAGAACUGCCGUUGACAAAACGGAGGAAGGUGGGGAUGACGUCAAAUCAUCAUGCCCCUUAUGUCUUGGGCUACACACGUACUACAAUGGCCUGAACAGAGGGAAGCAAAACUGCGAGGUGAAGCGAAUCCCUUUAAAACAGGUCCCAGUUCGGAUUGUAGGCUGCAACUCGCCUACAUGAAGUUGGAAUCGCUAGUAAUCGCAGGUCAGCAUACUGCGGUGAAUACGUUCCCGGGCCUUGUACACACCGCCCGU
rnacentral:rRNA from 1 species